rnacentral:rRNA from 1 species
GGGGGAUAUUGCACAAUGGAGGAAACUCUGAUGCAGCGACGCCGCGUGAGUGAAGAAGUAUUUCGGUAUGUAAAGCUCUAUCAGCAGGGAAGAUGAUGACGGUACCUGACUAAGAAGCCCCGGCUAACUACGUGCCAGCAGCCGCGGUAAUACGUAGGGGGCAAGCGUUAUCCGGAUUUACUGGGUGUAAAGGGAGCGCAGGCGGUUUUGCAAGUUGAGAGUGGAAGCAGGGGGCUCAACCCCCUGACUGCUCCCAAAACUGUAGGACUUGAGUAUGGGAGAGGCAGGCGGAAUUCCUAGUGUAGCGGUGAAAUGCUUAGAUAUUAGGAAGAACACCGGUGGCGAAGGCGGCCUGCUGGACCAAAACUGACGCUGAGGCUCGAAAGCGUGGGUAGCAAACAGGAUUAGAUACCCUGGUAGUCCACGCUGUAAACGAUGAAUACUAGGUGCUGGGAGGCAUAAGCUUUUCGGUGCCGUCGCAGACGCAUUAAGUAUUCCACCUGGGGAGUACGUUCGCAAGAAUG